rnacentral:rRNA from 1 species
UUGUCGUCAGCUCGUGUCGUGAGAUGUUGGGUUAAGUCCCGCAACGAGCGCAACCCUUGUGUUUAGUUGCAAACAGGUCAAGCUGUGCACUCUAGACAGACUGCCGUGGACAACACGGAGGAAGGUGGGGAUGACGUCAAAUCAUCAUGCCCCUUAUGAUCUGGGCUACACACGUGCUACAAUGGCCGGUACAACGGGCAGCGAAGGAGCGAUCCGGAGCGAAUCCUAAAAAGCCGGUCCCAGUUCGGAUUGCAGGCUGAAACUCGCCUACAUGAAGUUGGAGUUGCUAGUAAUCGCGAAUCAGAAUGUCGCGGUGAAUGCGUUCCCGGGUCUU